GAAAGCGAAGAGAAUACCCAUGAAUGUCAUUAGCAUGACAAUAUGAGCACUGCCAAGUCCUGGAAGCAUUUCUUUGGAAAAUGACCCAUGUCCGAGAUGGGCAAUGCCCUGUAUACUGCUGCAGCCACAGGCAGUAACAGGAUCGGAUUCUUCUGCAAGAAACCCAUAUUCUGUGUGGCAAAGUAGGUCACACUCCAUUAAUUUAUGCCUAGACGUUCGCAUAAUUUGAGCCUGUCUUCUAUCCUUUCUCAGUUGUCAGCAAGUCCCCAUGCGUCAAGAUCAAAAUGGGAUUCUCAUCUGC
rnacentral:misc_RNA from 1 species